rnacentral:rRNA from 1 species
UUAGAUGUCCGGGGCCGCACGCGCGCUACACUGAAGGAAUCAGCGUGUGCUCUCCCUGUCCGGCAGGACUGGGUAACCCGCCGAACCUCCUUCGUGAUAGGGAUAGGGGCUUGUAAUUGUUCCCCUUGAACGAGGAAUUCCCAGUAAGCGCGAGUCAUAAGCUCGUGUUGAUUACGUCCCUGCCCUUUGUACACACCGCCCGUCGCUACUACCGAUUGAACGAUUUAGUGAGGUCAUCGGACUGGCGCUCGGAGCGGCCCCACGGGCCGGGCCGACGUGCCGGAAAGAUGACCGAACUUGAUCGUUUAGAGGAAGUAAAAGUCGUAACAAGGUUUCC